rnacentral:piRNA from 1 species
CACCUUGACUGGUUCUGGACUUGAUGGA